CCCCCAGACUCCUACGGGAGGCAGCAGUGGGGAAUAUUGGUCAAUGGAGGCCCCUCUUACCCAGCCCUGCCGCGUGAAUGAAGACGGUCUUCGGCUUUUCAAGUUCUUUACUUUGGGACGAACCCCCUGACGGUACCCCCUUAAUAAGCCCCUUCUAACUACGUUCCCUCAGCCGCGUUCCUCCGUAGGGGUCCCGCGUUGUUCGUACUUCCUGGGCGUAAAGGGUGUGUAGGCGGGGUAGCAAGUUAGAAGGGAAAUACCUAGAGCUGAACGCAGGUGCUGCUUCUAAAACUGCUAUACUUGAGUGCAGUAGAGGAAAGUGGAAUUCCUAGUGUAGCGGGGGAAUGCGUAGAUAGGAGGAGGAACAUCAGUGGCGAAGGCGACUUUCUGGACUGUAACUGACGCUGAGGCACGAAAGGGUGGGGAGCAAACAGGAUUAGAUACCCUGGUAAC
rnacentral:rRNA from 1 species